UAUGAGGCAUAUAUACAUAAGUAUCGGGCAAGGAGAAAAUACGAACAAUGGGACCCAAAAAAACAGCAGGAGAAAAUACGAACAAUGGAACCCAAAAAAAAACAGCAGUGCAGCUAGGCGGCUAGCGCACAAUACACAUGAACUGGCGAUUUGGCAGGAGUUAUUCGAGAUGUUGUGGCCCUUACAGGUACUUGAACAACAGGCCGCCGUGGGUGGCGAAGAAGGGGGCAAACACAACAGGCCGCCGAGAUGGAUAAAGUCCCGUGAAGUGCGGACAGACCUCUAUUUCCUAUCGUCUUUUAAUAAGAAGUAAUAACAUAAAGAUCCAUUUGCCUGAAACAGUGAAGGCUGGAUGGCACAAAACACCGAGCUUUAUCGGCUUUCUCGUUCUGAGGUAUGUACAGACACUAUACUACAGGUACAAGCAAGCCCUAUGUUGUUGGCACUCUAAUUCACAUAUCCUACAAUUUUACGCACACUCCAGCUGAGCUUUAUAGCUCAGUUUCCUGGAGCUGGAGUCAUGGUCUGGUCCAUUUUGCCAGUAGUGGUGCUUGCGCUGCUUCCUCAUCAGCGCUGUCUGAAACGGCAGCUUUUGUGCCCUUGUCCUUCAUUCCUGGGUUAAGCAUCCAAGCGAGGCAGGACGAGAUUGCCUGUAAAAAAUAUUUAGAAUUUGAGAAAAAAACAUUAAGUACUGA
rnacentral:misc_RNA from 1 species